UCAGGAGGUAUUUGGUCUAACUCUUCUCAAUCGUUUCACUAGGACGUGCAUGUGGUUGACGCGUGGGAGCUCCUGAAGAUCAAUUUCUUACUUCGCACGCUUGCUUCGCUGGCAUCAGGCCAGUGGCAUGUCUGGUAGCGAUCGAACAGCAGUCCAGUCACGGUUUGCUUGGUAGACAGACGCGUGAAAGUUUUUGUUCGGGUUUUGGUUUCUACUUUGGAGUUCAACAUUCUAGUUUACUACCAAUGGAAUUAAUGAGGUUGCAAUGCAUGAGAUGAUCAUACAGACAGCAGUCCUGAAAAGUCUACGUUUUCAUGGUACACUGCAUCAUAGCAGUCCUAAAGUGGGAAGUGCAUCUAGAAAGACAGGGAAUAUUUACUGUAUUAGUGGCUGUUGCGAACUCGAUCUGCCUUUGGUGCUUUCUUGAUGGGCACACAAUAGCCUAUGCAACCUCCCCCACACUCAAAACACUAGACUUGUUUUGAAUCUGUGUCUAAGAUUGAUCGAUCGAUGCAUGGCAACUUCUGUGUGAUAUAGAAAUGUAUUAUAGUAUGGUACUCAUAUGUAUGAUUUUUUUCACGCCUGCUGAAGGCAUACAGUAUCCACAGUUAAUAAAGGACAUACAGA